UUCAUUUGGUGUCAAACGCACCUAGUUGUAAACAAAUGGAAAUUGAAAGUAAAAGUGCAACGGCACGGUAUAUUUUUUCUGGCAUCUUUUGUUUUCCAAUAUCUCGAACUUUCACGACAAAAAGGUCAUUUGCCCGAAAUUCAAUAUAUGUAUCAGUGAGAGGGGCUAAAGUUUGUAUGGAAGUCUAUGGGAAAACAUUUGGUGGUGUUUGUCCUAUAGAAAAGCGAUGCAUUCUCAAGAAGGAAGAGAUUAAUGAACCCUACCCUCUUACAAUGAACAACACAUGGAUACUCUCGGGAUGAUCCCUUUGCUUUCAUUAAGAGUUCCAAGAUGUGGGUCUGAUUGACUGGGGUGUGAAAUGUAACAGCCAAUGGUGUACUUAAGCGAUGCAUUCUCAAGAAGGAAGAGAUUAAUGAACCCUACCCUCUUACAAUGAACAACACAUGGAUACUCUCGGGAUGAUCCCUUUGCUUUCAUUAAGAGUUCCAAGAUGUGGGUCUGAUUGACUGGGGUGUGAAAUGUAACAGCCAAUGGUGUACUUAAGGUAAGACUGUCAGUCCCAAUAUUCAAGAGCGAUGCAUUCUCAAGAAGGAAGAGAUUAAUGAACCCUACCCUCUUACAAUGAACAACACAUGGAUACUCUCGGGAUGAUCCCUUUGCUUUCAUUAAGAGUUCCAAGAUGUGGGUCUGAUUGACUGGGGUGUGAAAUGUAACAGCCAAUGGUGUACUUAAGGAAAAACCCCUACAUAAACAAAUACAUGGGCGCAGACAUUUUGGACACCCAAGGUUGUGCGGAGGAGAAAAUGCUAGCUGGCGCGUGAUUGGUCAAUAAGAGAAAAGACUUGUUAUGUAUUUGACAAGUGAAAUAAAGUUGAUAAAAAUCUCA